rnacentral:rRNA from 1 species
UGGGGAAUAUUGGACAAUGGGGGCAACCCUGAUCCAGCGAUGCCGCGUGUGUGAAGAAGGCCUGCGGGUUGUAAAGCACUUUAGUUGGGGAGGAAAGGUUUGAGCUGCAUAAGUUCAAGCUGUGACGUUACCCAAAGAAUAAGCACCGGCAAACUCUGUGCCAGCAGCCGCGGUAAUACAGAGGGUGCAAGCGUUAAUCGGACUUACUGGGCGUAAAGGGUGCGUAGGCGGAAGGAUAAGUUAGUUGUGAAAGGCCUGGGCUUAACCUGGGAACUGCGUCUGAUACUGGAGGGCUUGAGUAUGGGAGAGGGAUGUAGAAUUCCAGGUGUAGCGGUGAAAUGCGUAGGGAUCGGAAAGAACACUCGUGGCGAAGGCGGCUUUCUGGCCCAUAACUGACGCUGAGGUGCGAAAGCAUGGGGAGCAAACAGGAUUAGAUACCCUUGUAGUCCCUGAGCGGGCUGGCAAGGCGCAU